rnacentral:lncRNA from 1 species
AGAUAUCGGUCUUCUCCCGACAUGCGCUCUGAUGACGGUUCCAUUUCCGCCAACUUAGGGUGAGAGUUAAGAGCCGGAGCCCUGUUGCCACCUGCAAAAUGCCUUAGCAACAUGUGGCAACUAUCUGCCCGAAGCAAGUUGCAAGCCAGCCCAGUUCAGGUUGCCACAUGCCAUGCUGGGUAUUCCCAGCGCGCUAGCGCACCUGCUUGGGCAGCUCGCUAUGGCUGCCGUCGACAGUUGACCCUGGUAUGCCAUCGCUAGAGUCGCAGCCCGCUCCGGCCAACCUCGCUCCUCCGCAACCGACACACGAACCCGACGUCUGACGUGGAAAUGGAUCUGGGGGACUGCGGGGUUUUGGGGUGUGUUGGGUUGGUGGCGUGAAGGGUGUGAUUUGUGAGGAAUUUAUCGAUGCAUGCCAAGUUGCACGCCUUUCCCCUGUGUUUCCUACAUGCCCCUGAACCCUCCCUUUGCUGGCUGCAGGCGAAGCGACAAGUGGUACCGCUGGUACCACCCACGGGGGCCUUGUGCCCAAGCCGUGGUGGCGCAUGGUAACUAUACACGUGGCGGUCAUCGACAUUGCUUUGUGCCGGCGCGCAGCACCCAGGAUGUGCGGCGAUCGCUGAAAUGCAGUUGUGGGGUCCACACUCAUAUGGCACCCACGCCCCACACAGCACUGAUGCAGGGCUCCUGCAGCCGUCACGCCAUGGGAAUCAGCAUAUGGGCAGUGGCCUGUGCAUACUUCUCUGUGGCCUGGCGGGGCAUCUGGCCAGGGCGUUUGACUAGCGGCAUGGGGCCUGCACGCCGGUAGGGGGGCGCAGGCCCAAAAUGAUGCAAGGAAGCUGAUGUGUUGCGUGAGGUGCGCAGCGGUUCCUGAUGGACGUGGGUGCUUUCAUGCGUAUGUAUAUUGGCUAUGUGUGUUGAUCUUUGCACCAGGGUGGUGUCGCCGCGCAGCGGAGCAUUGGUGUUGGUGCACGGGGCGUGAACAUUGGGGCCCGCAGUUGGGAUCGCGCCGGCACGGUCGCGGGCACCGCUGAAGAUAUGUUGGCGCGACCGGUCGCUUAUGGUGCACGCUAAUACCCGCAUACUGUGUGUAAGCACCGAUUGCAAUUAUAAGUUGCGCAUGUAGAUAUCGGUCUUCUCCCGACAUGCGCUCUGAUGACGGUUCCAUUUCCGCCAACUUAGGGUGAGAGUUAAGAGCCGGAGCCCUGUUGCCACCUGCAAAAUGCCUUAGCAACAUGUGGCAACUAUCUGCCCGAAGCAAGUUGCAAGCCAGCCCAGUUCAGGUUGCCACAUGCCAUGCUGGGUAUUCCCAGCGCGCUAGCGCACCUGCUUGGGCAGCUCGCUAUGGCUGCCGUCGACAGUUGACCCUGGUAUGCCAUCGCUAGAGUCGCAGCCCGCUCCGGCCAACCUCGCUCCUCCGCAACCGACACACGAACCCGACGUCAGACGUGGAAAUGGAUCUGGGGGACUGCGGGGUUUUGGGGUGUGUUGGGUUGGUGGCGUGAAGGGUGUGAUUUGUGAGGAAUUUAUCGAUGCAUGCCAAGUUGCACGCCUUUCCCCUGUGUUUCCUACAUGCCCCUGAACCCUCCCUUUGCUGGCUGCAGGCGAAGCGACAAGUGGUACCGCUGGUACCACCCACGGGGGCCUUGUGCCCAAGCCGUGGUGGCGCAUGGUAACUAUACACGUGGCGGUCAUCGACAUUGCUUUGUGCCGGCGCGCAGCACCCAGGAUGUGCGGCGAUCGCUGAAAUGCAGUUGUGGGGUCCACACUCAUAUGGCACCCACGCCCCACACAGCACUGAUGCAGGGCUCCUGCAGCCGUCACGCCAUGGGAAUCAGCAUAUGGGCAGUGGCCUGUGCAUACUUCUCUGUGGCCUGGCGGGGCAUCUGGCCAGGGCGUUUGACUAGCGGCAUGGGGCCUGCACGCCGGUAGGGGGGCGCAGGCCCAAAAUGAUGCAAGGAAGCUGAUGUGUUGCGUGAGGUGCGCAGCGGUUCCUGAUGGACGUGGGUGCUUUCAUGCGUAUGUAUAUUGGCUAUGUGCUUCCANNNNNNNNNNNNNNNNNNNNNNNNNNNNNNNNNNNNNNNNNNNNNNNNNNNNNNNNNNNNNNNNNNNNNNNNNNNNNNNNNNNNNNNNNNNNNNNNNNNNUGCCUUAGCAACAUGUGGCAACUAUCUGCCCGAAGCAAGUUGCAAGCCAGCCCAGUUCAGGUUGCCACAUGCCAUGCUGGGUAUUCCCAGCGCGCUAGCGCACCUGCUUGGGCAGCUCGCUAUGGCUGCCGUCGACAGUUGACCCUGGUAUGCCAUCGCUAGAGUCGCAGCCCGCUCCGGCCAACCUCGCUCCUCCGCAACCGACACACGAACCCGACGUCACUUGAUCCCACAAUUCCAGCGACUUUUGCGACCGGCUCUCCACCGACCGCUUGGAUGCUUGCGCCCGGUCGCUGCCCCAGCUACUUCCGCGGUGAAAUAACAACGGUGAGCAC